rnacentral:rRNA from 1 species
GACGAACCGUACGAACGUUAUUCGGAAUUACUGGGCUUAAAGGGUGCGUAGGCUGUGCAGCAAGUGGGGUGUGAAAUCCUACGGCUUAACCGUAGAACUGCGCUCCAAACUGCUGUGCUCGAGGGAGAUAGAGGUAAGCGGAACUUACGGUGGAGCGGUGAAAUGCGUUGAUAUCGUAAGGAACACCGGUGGCGAAAGCGGCUUACUGGAUCUCUUCUGACGCUGAGGCACGAAAGCUAGGGUAGCGAACGGG